GAUGAACGCUGGCGGCGUGCCUAAUACAUGCAAGUCGAGCGAACAGACGAGGAGCUUGCUCCUCUGACGUUAGCGGCGGACGGGUGAGUAACACGUGGAUAACCUACCUAUAAGACUGGGAUAACUUCGGGAAACCGGAGCUAAUACCGGAUAACAUGUUGAACCGCAUGGUUCAACAGUGAAAGACGGUCUUGCUGUCACUUAUAGAUGGAUCCCGGCCGCAUUAGCUAGUUGGUAAGGUAACGGCUUACCAAGGCAACGAUGCGUAGCCGACCUGAGAGGGUGAUCGGCCACACUGGAACUGAGACACGGUCCAGACUCCUACGGGAGGCAGCAGUAGGGAAUCUUCCGCAAUGGGCGAAAGCCUGACGGAGCAACGCCGCGUGAGUGAAGAAGGUCUUCGGAUCGUAAAACUCUGUUAUGAGGGAAGAACAAAUGUGUAAGUAACUAUGCACGUCUUGACGGUACCUAAUCAGAAAGCCACGGCUAACUACGUG
rnacentral:rRNA from 1 species